AGAGAACACGCAGAGACUAAGAACAGGAAGAGGCAAGAAAGCCAAGCAGGAGCCUGUAAGAACAGUGUGACCCUGGAAAAAGUUUGAGAGUGCUUUUGGGUUUGAUGUUGGCUAAAGACAUUUGAAGAGGCAUCAAACUGAAGUUUUUCACCACUUGGACAAUGGGAGAUAGUUUUCUGUUUAUUUUUCUGUGUAUUUCUCUGGGAAAGAGGAAUAAAGGAUGAAGGGAGGCAAGAGUACCCCACAUGUUACAGAAUGAGACUGCAGCUGGUAUCUGGCUUUCCAUCGGUCAGAACAUACAGUGCCUCUAGAUCUUGAAAACAGAAAGCUUUCUGAAAAAGCAGAAAAUGAAUUUAAACAUUGGGGUACCACAAACAGCAUUUUCACUUUAUUGUAAUGUUUUCUAAAUCCUAUUUACUUCGGUAACUACACACAAAUCAUAUCAAGAUUCACAGAAUAGAAAAUGACUAUAUUGAAUAUGAAAGGAUCUUAGUUACUGUUUAGAAAGGAUACAUCUUUUUUCUAAAUUGACAGAAUGUUCAUAAGACAAUAAACCCAGGGAAAGAUAAUUUUCUGAGACUGUCUCAGUGAAUUAGACUAGGUAGGCAGACUAGUUGGUCCUGAUUUUCAAAGCUGCUGACUUGAGCUGAGCUAGUAAGACUUCAUUGACUUCAGUUGAACUUGUAGGGCCUCAACCUCUGAAAGUCAGAGUAUUAUGACUUGGCAGGUAUUUCACUAUCUAAAGCU